GUAUUAUUUUAUUAAUAUGUUCCUAGAUAACAGUCCACGGGGCGCCGGCCAUUUUAGCGGCAGACGCGAGCGGCGACCGGGAGCGGCAGCGGCGCCAGCGAGCGGCGCUAGGCAGCGCUGAGUCGCGUCGACGUCAACAGACCUCCGACGUAUUUCUUUGUGCACCAAAUAAUUCAUAUGAGAGUUUGCGGUCAACCACGGAAUGCCACCGCAGCCUGACCGCAGCCAGCGCUGUCCCGGAGCAAGAGGUUCCUAGCCGCUGAUAAACGCUCACUCAGUAGAAUAAAUGAGUCAAGUUGU